UACGAAGGGGGCUAGCGUUGUUCGGAAUUACUGGGCGUAAAGCGCACGUAGGCGGAUUGCUAAGUCAGGGGUGAAAUCCUGGAGCUCAACUCCAGAACUGCCUUUGAUACUGGCGAUCUUGAGUCCGGGAGAGGUGAGUGGAACUGCGAGUGUAGAGGUGAAAUUCGUAGAUAUUCGCAAGAACACCAGUGGCGAAGGCGGCUCACUGGCCCGGAACUGACGCUGAGACGCGAAAGCGUGGGGAGCAAACAGG
rnacentral:rRNA from 1 species